rnacentral:rRNA from 1 species
UACGUAGGUGACCAGCGUUGUCCGGAUUUACUGGGCGUAAAGAGCGCGCAGGCGGUCGUUCAAGUCGAGUGUGAAAGGCCCCGGCUCAACUGGGGAGGGUCAUUCGAUACUGAUCGACUCGAAGGCAGGAGAGGGAAGUGGAAUUCCCGGUGUAGUGGUGAAAUGCGUAGAUAUCGGGAGGAACACCAGUGGCGAAGGCGACUUCCUGGCCUGUUCUUGACGCUGAGGCGCGAAAGCUAGGGGAGCAAACGGG